CGCGUAGGAAUCUACCAAGUAGUGGGGGACAACAUGUGGAAACGCAUGCUAAUACCGCAUACGCCCUAAGGGGGAAAGCGGGGGAUCUUCAGACCUCGCGCUAUUUGAUGAGCCUGCGUAAGAUUAGCUAGUUGGUAGGGUAAAAGCCUACCAAGGCGACGAUCUUUAGCUGGUCUGAGAGGAUGAUCAGCCACACUGGAACUGAGACACGGUCCAGACUCCUACGGGAGGCAGCAGUGGGGAAUAUUGCGCAAUGGGCGAAAGCCUGACGCAGCCAUGCCGCGUGUGUGAAGAAGGCCU
rnacentral:rRNA from 1 species